ensembl:snRNA U6 U6 spliceosomal RNA
GUGCUCGCUUUGGCAGUGCACAAACUAAAAGCGGAACAUACAGGGAAGGUUAGCAUGGCCCCUGUGCAAAGAUGACACACAAGUUCGCGGUGUUCCAUAUACAUUU